UUUUCAAAACUGGUAUGGACAAGGGGAAUCCGACUGUUUAAUUAAAACAAAUCAUUGUGAUGGUCCCUACGGAUGCUGACGUAAUGUGAUUUAUGCCCAGUUCUCUGCAUGUCAAAGUGAAGAGUAACUAUGACUCUCUUAAGGUAGGAAUAUGCCUUGUUAUCUAAUUAUUUAUGCACAUGAAUGGAUUAACUAUAUUCCCACUAUCCCUAGAUACUAUCUAGAGAAACCACAACCAAGGGAAUGGGCUUGGCAGAAUUAGCGGGGAAAGAAGAUCCUGUUGAGAUUGACUCUAGUCCAACUUUGUGAAAUGACUUGAGAGGUGUAGAAUAAGUGGGAGCCAUUUUCAGCACAAGUGAAAUACCACUACUUUUAACAUUAUUUUACUUAUUCCAUGGGGUGGAGAUGGGGCAUUGCACAUAUGUUAAACUAUAACACACAUUUCCUCAAAGUGUUGUCAUUGAUGACAAUUUUUGAGACCUAAUUCUUCACGCACUUGAUGGAAAUGAGUUUAGGAAACAAAAGAGGAUCAUUUAUUUUAAGGACGAGUAAAGUUCCUACAAUCCCUAUGUUUUUAUCCAACACCCACGU
rnacentral:ncRNA from 1 species